rnacentral:lncRNA from 1 species
UUCCUGCUCCCCAAUUCCUGCCCCCCAUUUCUGCCCCCCAUUUCUGCCCCAGCUCUGCCUCAAGGCCCUUCGGGUGCUGCCGCAGCCGCCCCCCCCCGGGGGGGUCCCCGAGUGCCGCCUGAGGGUGACACUGACCCCACUGCGCCUUCACAUCGACCAGGAUGCGCUGAUCUUCCUCAGGGAUUUCGCCGCCGCCUUCCUCGCCCACCUGAGCCCCCCCCCGGGACCCCCCCCGGGACCCCCGCCCGGUACCGGGGGUGGGGGGAGGGGCUCCGGGGGGGGAGGGGCUCCAGGGGGGGGAGGGGCUCCCGGCUUUGGGGGUCCCCUCACUGUUCCCCUCCCCCCCCCUCCUCCUGCAGCCCCCCCCGGGAUCGGGGACCCCCCCCGGCCGGAGCCGCCCCCGGAGCGGGACCCCCAAACGGAGACACCCCCGAUCUACUUCCGCGAGUUCCGUUUCAUGGCCGAUGUCCCCGUCUGGUUGGAUUACCGCGGCAAGCGCGUCACCAUGGAGCAGGGCGCCCUGGCCGGGAUCCUGAUCGGACUGGCGCGGCUGAACUGCUCCGAACUGCGGCUGAAACGGCUCUGCCACCGCCAGGGGUGGGACACGGGGGGACACUGGGGACAGGGAGGGACAAUGGGGACAGUGGGGGGGCACAGGGGACAGUGGGGGGACAUGGGGGAGACCAGGGACAC